UGAGCAUUUUGAGACCAUUGCAGAACACAGU
rnacentral:piRNA from 1 species